rnacentral:rRNA from 1 species
UACGUAGGGUGCAAGCGUUAAUCGGAAUUACUGGGCGUAAAGCGUGCGCAGGCGGUCUUGCAGGACAGAUGUGAAAUCCCCGGGCUCAACCUGGGAACUGCAUUUGUGACUGCAAGGCUGGAGUGCGGCAGAGGGGGAUGGAAUUCCGCGUGUAGCAGUGAAAUGCGUAGAUAUGCGGAGGAACACCGAUGGCGAAGGCGCUCUACUGGGCCAUUACUGACGCUGAUGGACGAAAGCUAGGGGAGCGAAAGGG